rnacentral:rRNA from 1 species
CCUACGGGAGGCAGCAGUGGGGAAUAUUGCGCAAUGGGCGAAAGCCUGACGCAGCGACGCCGCGUGAGGGAUGAAGGUCUUCGGAUCGUAAACCUCUGUCAGCAGGGAAGAACGGUCACUGUGCUACUCAGCAGUGAAUUGACGGUACCUGCAAAGGAAGCACCGGCUAACUCCGUGCCAGCAGCCGCGGUAAUACGGCGGGUGCGAGCGUUAAUCGGGAUUACUGGGCGUAAAGCGCUAGUAGGCGGGAUGUGAAGUCAAGGGGGGAAUCCCCGCGCUCAACGUGGGAACUGCCCUUGAAACUGGCAAGCUGGAGGGGGUGAGAAGAUAGUGGAAGUCCGGGGGUAGGAGGUAAAUCCGUA